rnacentral:rRNA from 1 species
CAGCCGCCGCGGGAAUACGAAGGGGGCAAGCGUUGCUCGGAAUGACUGGGCGUAAAGGGCGCGUAGGUGGUGUGGACAGUCAGAUGUGGAAUUCCUGGGCUCAACCUGGGGGCUGCAUUUGAUACGUCCAAACUAGAGUGUGGAAGAGGGUCGUGGAAUUCCCAGUGUAGAGGUGAAAUUCGUAGAUAUUGGGAAGAACACCGGUGGCGAAGGCGGCGACCUGGUCCAUUACUGACGCUGAGGCGCGAAAGCGUGGGGAGCAAACAGGAUUAGAUACCCCCGUAGUCCCUGUCUCUUAUAC